rnacentral:miRNA from 1 species
CAGACCCUGCUCUGAAGGCUGG